GACAUGUGAAAGGGUAAAAUGGCAUCUUUCACAGUAUGUCUGCCAUCCUUUUACUUGUUUUGGGUCAUCACUCCUUACUAAUUUCCAAAACCACAGCUGUUGGUAUCCCCUUCAGUAAUUUGGCCGACAACCACAGUCCAUCUGAGUUGUGUAGUCCCCAAGGGACCAGUGUAUCCGUGUAUUUUCAUGGUGGGAGAGAACUACACCAUCCCUACAUCAUCAUGCCAGCUGACCCUCACAGGAGAACAAAUUAAAGCCUGGGGACGGGUAAACCCACCUUCGGAGCUUCCAGUGAAAUGUUUCUACACUGUAAAAGAGUCUGGUGUUAAACAUCCCUCUGAUCACUCUUCUCCUGUUUCAGUGUUUGUGCUGGAUCAUUUGCAGAAACCCAUUGUAAGCGUGCAUCAUGACCGAACAGACAUGCUGUUCCACAUUGUUUGUGAAAUACCCAAGCAGUCCUGGAAUGUCACCGGAUGCCAGCUUUAUACUGGACAUGGGGAGAACUUGUACUCAACAACUAAAAUACAGAA
ensembl:lncRNA